UCAUGAUCUCGACCUGUGCUCGAGGCCUCGCCUUGUUGCUGCUGGCAAGUUGUCUUACAACUGUUUGGAUAUCAGCUUCUCGCCCUAUGGUGAAUACUGGAGAGAGAUGAGAAAGUUAUGCAUCCUCGAACUUUUCAGUGCCAAGAGGGUGCAAUCAUUUCAGUUUAUAAGGGAAGAAGAGAUCUCACUAAUGAUCGAUCGUAUCUCCCGUUCUUCUCCAACUCCUAUAAAUCUUAGCAAGCUGAUGAUGAUGCUGGCCAAUAAUAUGAUCUGCAGAACUGCGAUGGGUAGGAAGUACCAAGAAAGUGAUUAUGAGAAGGGUAUAUUUCACAGGAUUCUUACCGAAGCGCAGGCGUUGCUAGGCAGUUCUUUCAUUGCGGACUUCUUCCCAUCAAUAGGCUGGAUGGACAAGAUAAGUGGAGUUGCAGGUAGGCUUGAGAA
rnacentral:lncRNA from 1 species